rnacentral:rRNA from 1 species
GAUGAACGCUGGCGGCGUGCCUAAUACAUGCAAGUCGAGCGAACGGACGAGAAGCUUGCUUCUCUGAUGUUAGCGGCGGACGGGUGAGUAACACGUGGAUAACCUACCUAUAAGACUGGGAUAACUUCGGGAAACCGGAGCUAAUACCGGAUAAUAUUUUGAACCGCAUGGUUCAAAAGUAAAAGACGGUCUUGCUGUCACUUAUAGAUGGAUCCGCGCUGCAUUAGCUAGUUGGUAAGGUAACGGCUUACCAAGGCAACGAUGCGUAGCCGACCUGAGAGGGUGAUCGGCCACACUGGAACUGAGACACGGUCCAGACUCCUACGGGAGGCAGCAGUAGGGAAUCUUCCGCAAUGGGCGAAAGCCUGACGGAGCAACGCCGCGUGAGUGAUGAAGGUCUUCGGAUCGUAAAACUCUGUUAUUAGGGAAGAACAGAUGUGUAAGUAACUGUGCACAUCUUGACGGUACCUAAUCAGAAAGCCACGGCUAACUACGUG